rnacentral:tRNA from 1 species
CAAGGCGUAGCUAAUAUAGUAAGUAUCUCACUUACACCGAGAAGACACUCAUGCAAACUGAGUCGCCAUGA